GACAAUCUAUGCAUUCCAAACCCCUUCAGUUCAUGGUCUUCCCAAAGAGCAGUACGAUCAGCUAAAGCACCAAAAAAGUAAUGGUAUAGCACUCUUUCAUGUAUAAGCUUCUUCUCUAUCAAUCUACAAACCACAAACGGUGGUUAACAGGGGGCAAGUUUAUUAGCUUACUGCCAGCUCUGUCGUUGCAGAUUACUGCUAGUUAUCUUUCAUUGGAUCCACUCUCAGUCAGGAUAUGAAAGAUCAAGAUGAAAACAGAGACAAGUUUAAGAGCUCUGCCAAUCCAAUGAGCACGAUAUAAUUAAGUAAACAAGUGUUGCGUUUUUUAAUUGGGUUAAUCGAUAGAAUUGUGAAUGAAUUUGGAUCUAAUUGCAUGUAAUUAAAUAAAAAGAAUAUCAUAUAGUAUAUAAUUAACGAUAAAUUUAGUUGACUGAUUUUAUUGAUACAAACACCUAAGUUGAAUGAUUUUAUUGAUACAAAAUAAAGUUUAAUGACUUUACUAGAAAAAUUCUCAAAGUUAGUGACCUUUUGUGAUAUUAACUCAAGAAAGUAACAUUUUUAC
rnacentral:lncRNA from 1 species